rnacentral:rRNA from 2 species
GGCUCAUCGCAUCCUGGGGCUGUAGUCGGUCCCAAGGGUUGGGCUGUUCGCCCAUUAAAGCGGUACGCGAGCUGGGUUCAGAACGUCGUGAGACAGUUCGGUCCCUAUCCGUCGUGGGCGUAGGAAAUUUGAGAGGAGCUGUCCUUAGUACGAGAGGACCGGGAUGGACGCACCGCUGGUGUACCAGUUGUUCUGCCAAGGGCAUAGCUGGGUAGCUAUGUGCGGAAGGGAUAAGUGCUGAAAGCAUCUAAGCAUGAAGCCCCCCUCAAGAUGAGAUUUCCCAUAGCGUAAGCUAGUAAGAUCCCUGAAAGAUGAUCAGGUUGAUAGGUUCGAGGUGGAAGCAUGGUGACAUGUGGAGCUGACGAAUACUAAUAGAUCGAGGACUUAACCAUAUAA